rnacentral:misc_RNA from 1 species
GCUACUCCUCCUGCAAUCAGAUAUCUGUAUGCAUGAAUGUGCUUACUGAUGCCCUCCGGGAUAACAGCCUGUUCCCCAAUGUCAACCAGGCAUACCCUUUCCAAGUAAUGAUAAAUGUUCUCAAUAGUAGCCUCAUGAGGGUAUAGUAGAAGAAAGUCUCUCCAUUCUUCAAAUGUUAUAACACCGUUGUUAUCCUUAUCCACUCGCUCAACAAAACGCGCAAGCUCCUCAUCAUCAAUUUCAAUCCCUGCCCUAAGAAGUGCAUCAUACAGCUCUUCUGGCAAAAUGCAACCAUUAUGCUCAACAUCAAUGGCUUGAAAAAUACGGUACAGAUCAAGCUCCUUAUCAUCCAUAUAUCGCUUAAACUCCUGGUAAUCCACGCGCCCAUCUUUAUUGGCA